AUUGAACGCUGGCGGCAUGCUUUACACAUGCAAGUCGAACGGCAGCACAGCAGAGGUAACUCUGUGGGUGGCGAGUGGCGAACGGGUGAGUAAUACAUCGGAACGUACCCUGUUGUGGGGGAUAACUACGCGAAAGCGUAGCUAAUACCGCAUACGCCCUGAGGGGGAAAGCGGGGGGACCCUAAAUAGAGCGCACUGGGGAGUGCGUUGUAUUUAGGGCCUCGCGCAAUAGGAGCGGCCGAUGUCGGAUUAGCUAGUUGGUGAGGUAAAGGCUUACCAAGGCGACGAUCCGUAGCUGGUCUGAGAGGAUGAUCAGCCACACUGGGACUGAGACACGGCCCAGACUCCUACGGGAGGCAGCAGUGGGGAAUUUUGGACAAUGGGGGCAACCCUGAUCCAGCCAUGCCGCGUGAGUGAAGAAGGCC
rnacentral:rRNA from 1 species